rnacentral:rRNA from 1 species
AGAGUUUGAUCCUGGCUCAGAUUGAACGCUGGCGGUAGGCCUAACACAUGCAAGUCGAACGCGAAAGUCCUUCGGGAUGAGUAGAGUGGCGGACGGGUGAGUAACGCGUAGGAAUCUAUCCUGUAGUGGGGGAUAACGUUUCGAAAGGAACGCUAAUACCGCAUACGCCCCACGGGGGAAAGCGGGGGGAUCUUCGGACCUCGUGCUAUAGGAGGAGCCUGCGUCGGAUUAGCUAGUUGGUGAGGUAAAGGCUCACCAAGGCGACGAUCCGUAGCUGGUCUGAGAGGAUGAUCAGCCACACCGGAACUGAGACACGGUCCGGACUCCUACGGGAGGCAGCAGUGGGGAAUAUUGCGCAAUGGGCGAAAGCCUGACGCAGCCAUACCGCGUGUGUGAAGAAGGCCUUCGGGUUGUAAAGCACUUUCAGUGGGGAGGAAAAGCGGGUGGCUAAUAUCCAUCGGCCGUGACGCUACCCACAGAAGAAGCACCGGCUAAUUCCGUG